rnacentral:rRNA from 1 species
UACGUAGGGUGCAAGCGUUGUCCGGAAUUAUUGGGCGUAAAGAGCUCGUAGGCGGUUUGUCGCGUCUGCUGUGAAAACCCGAGGCUCAACCUCGGGCCUGCAGUGGGUACGGGCAGACUAGAGUGCGGUAGGGGAGAUUGGAAUUCCUGGUGUAGCGGUGGAAUGCGCAGAUAUCAGGAGGAACACCAAUGGCGAAGGCAGAUCUGCUGGGCCGUAACCUGACGCUGAGGAGCGAAAGCAUGGGGAGCGAACAGG